rnacentral:rRNA from 1 species
GUAGGGAAUAUUGGGCAAUGGUCGGAAGACUGACCCAGCCAUGCCGCGUGCAGGAAGACGACCCUCUGGGUUGUAAACUGCUUUUAUCUGGGAAGAAAAAGGCCAUGCGUGGCAAAUUGCCGGUACCAGAUGAAUAAGCACCGGCUAACUCCGUGCCAGCAGCCGCGGUAAUACGGAGGGUGCGAGCGUUGUCCGGAUUUAUUGGGUUUAAAGGGUGCGUAGGCGGCUGAUUAAGUCAGCGGUGAAAGACUUCGGCUUAACCGGAGCAGUGCCGUUGAUACUGGUUGGCUUGAGUGCCGGAGGGGUACAUGGAAUUGAUGGUGUAGCGGUGAAAUGCAUAGAUACCAUCAGGAACACCGAUAGCGAAGGCAUUGUACUGGCCGACAACUGACGCUGAUGCACGAAAGUGUGGGGAUCGAACAGGAUUAGAAACCCUAGUAGUCC